rnacentral:rRNA from 1 species
UACGUAGGGGGGCUAGCGUUGUCCGGAAUCAUUGGGCGUAAAGAGCGUGUAGGCGGCCCCGGUAAGUCCGCUGUGAAAGUCGGGGGGCUCAACCCUCGAAUGCCGGUGGAUACUGUCGGGCUAGAGUGCGGAAGAGGCGAGUGGAAUUCCUGGUGUAGCGGUGAAAUGCGCAGAUAUCAGGAGGAACACCGAUUGCGAAGGCAGCUCGCUGGGACGUCACUGACGCUGAGACGCGAAAAGCGUGGGGAGCAAACAGG